CUAUCUGCAGUCGAGCGAAUGGAUUAGAGCUUGCUCUUAUGAAGUUAGCGGCGGACGGGUGAGAACACGUGGGUAACCUGCCCAUAAGACUGGGAUAACUCCGGGAAACCGGGGCUAAUACCGGAUAACAUUUUGAACCGCAUGGUUCGAAAUUGAAAGGCGGCUUCGGCUGUCACUUAUGGAUGGACCCGCGUCGCAUUAGCUAGUUGGUGAGGUAACGGCUCACCAAGGCAACGAUGCGUAGCCGACCUGAGAGGGUGAUCGGCCACACUGGGACUGAGACACGGCCCAGACUCCUACGGGAGGCAGCAGUAGGGAAUCUUCCGCAAUGGACGAAAGUCUGACGGAGCAACGCCGCGUGAGUGAUGAAGGCUUUCGGGUCGUAAAACUCUGUUGUUAGGGAAGAACAAGUGCUAGUUGAAUAAGCUGGCACCUUGACGGUACCUAACCAGAAAGCCACGGCUAACUACGUGCCAGCAGCCGCGGUAAUACGUAGGUGGCUAUGCGUUAUCCGGAAUUAUUGGGCGUAAAGCGCGCGCAGGUGGUUUCUUAAGUCUGAUGUGAAAGCCCACGGCUCAACCGUGGAGGGUCAUUGGAAACUGGGAGACUUGAGUGCAGAAGAGGAAAGUGGAAUUUCCAUGUGUAGCGGUGAAAUGCGUAGAGAUAUGGGAGGAACACCAGUGGCGAAUGCGACUUUCUGGUCUGUAACUGACACUGAGGCGCGAAAGCGUGGGGAGCAAAC
rnacentral:rRNA from 1 species